GUCUACGGCCAUACCACCCUGAACACGCCUGAUCUCGGAAGCUAAGCAGGGUCAGGCCUGGUUAGUACUUGGAUGGGAGACUUAUGGAGUUUGGACU
rnacentral:rRNA from 1 species